UGACCCGUCUUGAAACACGAACCAAGGAGUCUAUCUAGUAUGCGAGUAAAUGAGUAUGUGAAACUUAUUUGCAUAAAAAACUUAACUGUUAUGGGACUACGAGUUGUGCUUUGGUGCAGCUCCUCCAUCCCGGGGUAUUUUCAUCAACAUAUGCAGCAAUGUAUAUGGAAAAUAUACCAUGAGCAUACUGGAUAUGACCCGAAAGAUGGUGAACUAUGCCUGAUCAGGUUGAAGUCAGGGGAAACCCUGAUGGAGGACCGAAGCAAUUCUGACGUGCAAAUCGAUUGUCAGAAUUGGGCAUAGGGGCGAAAGACCAAUCGAACCAUCUAGUAGCUGGUUCCUUCCGAAGUUUCCCUCAGGAUAGCUGGAGCAUAGAAAUAUCUUUUUCUAACUCAUACCUGGUAAAGCGAAUGAUUAGAGGCCUUAGGAACGAAAUGUUCUUAACCUAUUCUCAAACUUUAAAUGGGUAUGUAAGCUAACAUACUUGAUUGAUGUUGGCCUGGUGGUGAGCAGUAAUGUUCAUCUGUAAGAUUGUAUGCGCCCAGUGGGCCAAGUUUUGGUAAGCAGAACUGGUGCUGCGGGAUGAACCGAACGCAUUGUUAAGGCGCCCAAAUAAACGACGCAUCAUCGAUACCAUGAAAGGUGUUGAUGCUAAGACAGCAGAAGCGGAAACC
rnacentral:rRNA from 1 species